CCGCAUUCCAGUAGACCUUAUCUGGUUCUUCCCGUGGCCAGAGGAGGGGGACAGUGAAUGCUACAGAAACCGGGGUUGCCGUAGGCUGCGAUCAGCCCCGAUGUGGCUGAUUGAACUGCAGUGCUCCAACACAC
ensembl:snoRNA